GAUGAAGAACGUAGCGAAAUGCGAUAAGUAAUGUGAAUUGCAGAAUUCAGUGAAUCAUCGAAUCUAUGAACGCACCUUGCGCCCUUUGGCCAUUCCGAAGGGCAUGCCUGUUUGAGUAUCAUGAACACCUCAACUCUUUAUGGUUUUCCAUGAUGAGCUUGGACUCUGGGGGUUUUGCUGGCUCACAGUCGGCUCCUCUAAAAUGAAUCAGCUUACCAGUGUUUGGUGGGUAUCAUGGGUGUGAUAACUAUCUACGCUUGUGGUUUUUCCACCAGGUAACCUUCAGCAGUGGAGGUUCGCUGGAGCUCAUAGAUGUCUCUCCUCAGUGAGGACAGCCCUUUGAAUGUUUGAUCUCAAAUCAGGUAGGACUACCCGCUGAACUUAAGCAUAUCAAUAAGCGGAGGA
rnacentral:misc_RNA from 1 species